rnacentral:rRNA from 1 species
CACUGACAUUAGAUACCCGGGUAGUCCCAGCCGUAAACAAUGUGCGUUAGGUGUGUCGGUAACCACGCGUUACUGAUGCGCCGAAGAGAAAUCGUGAAACGCACCACCUGGGAAGUACGGUCGCAAGGCUGAAACUUAAAGGAAUUGGCGGGGAGCACCACAACAGGUGGAGCCUGCGGUUUAAUUGGACUCAACGCCGGAAAUCUCACCGGAUAAGACAGCAGAAUGAUUGCCGGGCUGAAGACUCUGCAUGACUAGCUG